rnacentral:rRNA from 1 species
AUUGAACGCUGGCGGCAGGCCUAACACAUGCAAGUCGAGCGAGCGGCGGACGGGUGAGUAAUUGCUGGGCAACUGCCUGAUGGAGGGGGAUAACUACUGGAAACGGUAGCUAAUACCGCAUACCAUCAGAUGUGCUCAGAUGGGAUUAGCGAGUAGGUGGGGUAAUGGCUCACCUAGGCGACGAUCCCUAGCUGGUCUGAGAGGAUGACCAGCCACACUGGAACUGAGACACGGCCCAGACGCCUACGGGAGGCAGCAGUGGGGAAUAUUGCACAAUGGGCGCAAGCCUGAUGCAGCCAUGCCGCGUGUGUGAAGAAGGCUUUCGGGUUGUAAAGCACUGUCAGCGGGGAGGCGUUACUCGCAGAAGAAGCACCGGCUAACUCCGUGUCAGCAGCCGCGGUAAUAC